AAGUCGUAACAAGGUUUCCGUAGGUGAACCUGCGGAAGGAUCAUUACAAAUCUUUAGAGGCCCAUUUUUUUUUUUUUUUGGGUCUAUAUGUCCGAAGCAGCAAUGCUUCGUUACAUUUACGCUUGUAUGUUUGACAAAGUUAGUGUGAAUUUUAAUAUAUACAACUUUUAACAAUGGAUCUCUUGGCUCUU
rnacentral:misc_RNA from 1 species